GUAGGAGGGUAGCAGGCUUGAUUGUCCAAACACAUAUUUGAUCUUACCUUGGUAUGUGUACGUAUGGGGAAGCCAACUGUAUGUAAGUACGUAUGUAUGUCAAGGGCAGAGGGUAGCGGGCUUAGUUGUUCAAGUGCACAUUUAAUCUUACCUGGUAUGUGUAUGUGUAGAGGCGCCUGUAAGGGGAGUAUGUAUGUAUGUGCCCCGUAUGUAAAGAGUCAUCCUCUCACUUCCUCAUCCAACCGAUCUUAUUGCUCCCACUUGGGUUACAAGCCCGAGUUACCGGGCUCAGCGGUUAGCUAAGUUGGAUUAGUUCAUAAAAAUAAUAUUAGUCGUUCCCACGCACCCGAUGUGGGAUUAAAAAGCUUACCGAAUCGAAUACAGGAGGUGCAGAGCCGAGUGAGAGACGACGGCAGCGGUGGGAUCUGCGGCGGUGUUAUCACAUUGUCGUCCUCCUCCUCCCCUGACGCGACUCCGGCGUCCCCCUCUUCUGUAUACCGUGGAAAUUGAAAGAUUGGAAAUCGCCGCUAAACCCUCCCAUCAAUUUCAAUGCGUGCGUGUCGUUCCAGAUGGAGCUCUCAGGGUUUGUGAGAAGACCCCGAUCGUGGCGGUGGCUUCAACGACGAUGACGUCGAUGGUGGAACUACAGUAACAUCCGCCUUGGCUGCCUCCAAAUAUCACGAGCUCGUCAAAGAUGACAAAAGGAUUACGUAAGAAAGCGCUUGAGAGACUUUUAGGUAGACAUUUUGGAGGUGACGCACAUAUCUCUACGUCAGGACGCGGAUAUGCUACACAUGACUCACAGCCACAUGAUACAGGAUGCGGAG